GAUGAACGCUGGCGGCGUGCCUAAUACAUGCAAGUCGAGCGAACGGACGAGAAGCUUGCUUUUCUGAUGUUAGCGGCGGACGGGUGAGUAACACGUGGAUAACCUACCUAUAAGACUGGGAUAACUUCGGGAAACCGGAGCUAAUAUCGGAUAAUAUUUUGAACCGCAUGGUUCAAAAGUGAAAGACGGUCCUGCUGUCACUUAUAGAUGGAUCCGCGCUGCAUUAGCUAGUUGGUAAGGUAACGGCUUACCAAGGCAACGAUGCAUAGCCGACCUGAGAGGGUGAUCGGCCACACUGGAACUGAGACACGGUCCAGACUCCUACGGGAGGCAGCAGUAGGGAAUCUUCCGCAAUGGGCGAAAGCCUGACGGAGCAACGCCGCGUGAGUGAUGAAGGUCUUCGGAUCGUAAAACUCUGUUAUUAGGGAAGAACAUAUGUGUAAGUAACUGUGCACAUCUUGACGGUACCUAAUCAGAAAGCCACGGCUAACUACGUG
rnacentral:rRNA from 1 species